CGGACGGCUCAUUAACACGUGGUUAACAUACCCUCAGGUGGGGGAUAACCUUGGGAAACUGAGGAUAAUACCCCAUAGAAAAAGCAGUCUGGAACGAUUCUUUUUCGAAAGCAUAUGCGCCUGAGGAUUGGACUGCGCUCGAUUAGGUAGUUGGUGGGGUAAUGGCCUACCAAGCCUACGAUCGGUACGGGCCUUGAGAGAGGAAGCCCGGAGAUGGGGACUGAGACACGGCCCCAGGCCCUACGGGGCGCAGCAGGCGCGAAACCUCCGCAAUGCACGAAAGUGCGACGGGGGGAUCCCAAGUGCUCAUGCACAGCAUGGGCUUUUAUCAAGUGUAAACAGCUUGAGGAAUAAGGGCUGGGCAAGUUCGGUGCCAGCAGCCGCGGUAACACCGACGGCCCGAGUGGUGGCCACUUUUAUUGGGCCUAAAGCGUCCGUAGCCGGUCCAGUAAGUCCUUGUUUAAAUCCUGCGGCUUAACCGCAGGACUGGCAGGGAUACUGCUGGACUUGGGACCGGGAGAGGACAAGGGUACUUCAGGGGUAGCGGUGAAAUGUGUUGAUCCUUGAAGGACCACCUAUGGCGAAGGCACUUGUCUGGAA
rnacentral:rRNA from 1 species